rnacentral:rRNA from 1 species
UACGAGGGGAGCAAGCGUUGUUCGGAUUUACUGGGCGUAAAGGGCGCGUAGGCGGCCACGACAAGUCACUUGUGAAAUCUCCGGGCUUAACCCGGAAAGGUCAAGUGAUACUGCUGUGCUAGAGUGCGGAAGGGGCAACUGGAAUUCUCGGUGUAGCGGUGAAAUGCGUAGAUAUCGAGAGGAACACCUGCGGCGAAGGCGGGUUGCUGGGCCGACACUGACGCUGAGGCGCGAAAGCUAGGGGAGCGAACGGG